CACAAUUGUGGCAGAAGACAUGGAAAUUUCUGCUCAUAGAGUGGUGCUGGCCGCCUGUAGUCCUUAUUUUCAUGCCAUGUUUACAGGUGAGAUGAGUGAGAGCCGAGCAAAGAGAGUUAGAAUAAAAGAGGUAGAUGGCUGGACCCUGAGGAUGCUAAUUGAUUACGUUUACACUGCAGAAAUUCAGGUUACAGAAGAAAAUGUACAGGUACUUCUCCCAGCAGCUGGUCUCUU
rnacentral:lncRNA from 1 species